GACAGGACUGUUAUCUCAUCCUUCAGUUUCUUGGUCUCCUUUUCAAGCUCCUGACUUUUAAGGUUUGGGAUCGCGUUCGAGGAUUGGAUAUCAACUCUAAGAAGGAAGCGGUCAAUUUAGACGGUGUUCCCAGUGAUCCUACCUGACUACGCCAAGUUGUGGGAUCGUGUUCAAAUACCGACCAGAAUCGUUUGUUCAAACUGGGUGGGGCUUCAUCUGAACUGGAACGGAUACAGCAGCCAUGCAGGG